AGGAUAGGCAUUUUAAAUAACUCUUUUUACCCUGUACAACUUUAAUAUCUACUACUCAAACAAGAAACAAAACAAAACAAACCACAGAAGUGUUAUUUUGUAUCCAUGUACCAUUAUUUCCAGAACUGGAUGGCAGACUUCUAGUGACCAUUUCACACUGUGUAGCAAGUAGACAACAAAAAACUGAGUGCUCCUGUCAAAAGCCACAUGAGUGAGUUGCUGAUAGUGGAUCCCCCAGCACCAGUCACACCAUCAGAAGACUGCAGUACCAGAUGACACCUUGACUGCAACCUCAUGAGAGGUUCUGAGCCAGACCUGCCCAGCUAAACUGCUUCUAGAUUUCUCAUUCUCAGAAACGGUGUGAACUAAUAAGUGUUUGCUGGCAUCAGC